ACCUAGCCCUCAACAGCCAAUCAGGGGCUACGCAGGCCACGUUCAGCCUGUUAGUUCAGAGGUGAAGUGCAGGCGCGUUGUUUUCCGGGUCUCUUGGAUCUCAGCCGCAAGGGAGGAGGGCAGCUACCUGCUAAAAGGACGGAAUAAAAGGAGAAAAACUCGGAGUUAAACUGUGAUAGGAGAAAGAUAGGACCAGUGCACUUAUCUACUGGGAGUCCGGAGCCAAGUGACUGAACGAAGGAGACGAGUUACGUCGGCUAACCAGUUAGCUUUCAUCUUGUGAGCCACUGCAAGCGCCCCGACAUCGACGUGCUCCGCUUUGAAACAGAGAGCAACGGUCAGGUUUUUUGAGAGGACGGGAAGAUUCGAGGACCAGGACGUUAUCCUGAUUGUGUCAGAUGGCGAGCCAAAACCUUUGAAGAAAAGACACCGACAAGGAGAUACACACGUACACACUCACACGCAUUCACACUACAUUCCCAUAAACAUUUAAUAUCAGGUGCACCUGCCACAAUUUUCAGUUUGAAGGGCCCCAACGGACAUUCUUCUUAUUUUUAGUGUGCACACGUUUUGUUUUCUGGUCAUUUGGGUCAUUGUUUAUAAUUUUGUAUAAAUUGAACAUUUCUCUUAUUCAAUGUAAAAAUAUAAGAUUGACUACUCAACA